rnacentral:tRNA from 1 species
CCCUAGUUGCUCAGUCAGUAAAGAAUCUGCCUGCCAUGCAGGAGACCCGGGUUCAGUUCCUGGACUGGGCA